UAGAAAAUAAUAUAAAUAAAAAAGAAAAAAUAAUAUAAAAUUUUCCGAUAUCUAUAUAUAUAUUCGGUAUCUAAAUUUAAUAUAUCUAAUUAAGUUUCUCUAGAACUUUUCAGAUACUAAACCCAUCACUCUUCAUUCAUUAAAAAAAUACUUCCUCUUUUUGUAAUCCGACUUCUGCGCAGUUAGCUUAUUUCAAUAGGCAUUCAAUUUAUUUUCUUUUCAUUAGAGCCGUAAUUCAGUUCAGUUUUGACUUCGUUUGGGAAGAUUCGAGUUUAAAAAUUGUAUUUUAAAAAAUUCAGGCUAGACCCACACUCGAAUAAAAUUAUGAAUCGUUAAUUUAAGCUACCAAUAGAUUUAACGAUUUAUGUUUAAUGUUUAAAAACACUUGGGACAUUUUAUAGAGAUCACUAAUACGAAUUUUUUUAUUCAACGAUUUUCGAGACCAACAUCGAUGCGAAUAUGCUCGGCGACUAGAAUUGCGACGUAUGUACACCAUCGAUCUUUAACGCACGUUUGUGUGUCGCGUGUUCACGCCUUUCGGAUCGUCAUAGUUCGCCGAGGACGGAAGGAUGAGCGUUUCGAAGCAAUGCCAUUUACGCGUGCACAUGUUGCGACGAUUGAGCUGGAUCAUCUGCGAUCCGUAAGGCCGUCCGUGAAUCUUCGACCACGCAUGGUCGCACCCACGCAAAUGAUGCUAGUUCUCCAUUCUCGUUGCAUACACGCAUAUGCAAUACGACAUUAGUAUGGUACACGUCGUACCUAGUCUGAACGUCCUUUAAACGCAAUCAGCUGUUCGGGGAUAACACUUUCAGUUUGACAAUGGAUAUAACAUGUAACUACAAUUAUAGUUUAUCUAUACUCUA